rnacentral:rRNA from 1 species
AUGCAUCGAGAUUUAAAGCUCCGGCGCCUAAGGAUGGGUCUGCGGCCUAUCAGGUAGUAGUGGGUGUAGCGUACCUACUAGCCUACGACGGGUACGGGUUGUGAGAGCAAGAGCCCGGAGAUGGAUUCUGAGACACGAAUCCAGGCCCUACGGGGUGCAGCAGGCGCGAAAACUUUACAAUGCUGGCAACAGCGAUAAGGGAACCUCGAGUGCCAGGUUACAAAUCUGGCUGUCGAGAUGCCUAAAAAGCAUUUCAUAGCAAGGGCCGGGUAAGACCGGUGCCAGCCGCCGCGGUAACACCGGCGGCUCGAGUGGUAACCGUUAUUAUUGGGUCUAAAGGGUCUGUAGCCGGCCGGAUAAGUCUCUUGAGAAAUCUGGCAGCUUAACUGUCAGGCUUUCAGGAGAUACUGUCUGGCUCGAGGCCGGGAGAGGUGAGAGGUACUUCAGGGGUAGGGGUGAAAUCUUGUAAUCCUUGAAGGACCACCAGUGGCGAAGGCGUCUCACCAGAACGGACCUGACGGCAAGGGACGAAAGCUAGGGGCACGAACCGGAUUAGAUACCCGGGUAGUCCUAGCCGUAAACGAUACUCGCUAGGUGUCGGCCACGGUGCGACCGUUGUCGGUGCCGUAGGGAAGCCGUGAAGCGAGCCACCUGGGAAGUACGGCCGCAAGGCUGAAACUUAAAGGAAUUGGCGGGGGAGCACCACAACGGGUGGAGCUUGC